CUACGGGUCGCUGCAGUGGGGAAUAUUGGACAAUGGGGGAAACCCUGAUCCAGCAAUGCCGCGUGUGUGAAGAAGGCCUGCGGGUUGUAAAGCACUUUCGGUUGGGAGGACUGCUUCUAGCACUAAUAUUGUUGGAAGUUGACGUUACCUUCAGAAGAAGCACCGGCUAACUCCGUGCCAGCAGCCGCGGUGAAUACGGAGGGUGCAAGCGUUAAUCGGAAUUACUGGGCGUAAAGCGCGCGUAGGCGGCUAGAUCAGUCGGGUGUGAAAGCCCCGGGCUUAACCUGGGAACUGCAUCCGAUACUGUCUAGCUUGAGUACAGGAGAGGAGAGUGGAAUUCCACAUGUAGCGGUGAAAUGCGUAGAUAUGUGGAGGAACACCAAUGGCGAAGGCAGCUCUCUGGCCUGAUACUGACGCUGAGGUGCGAAAGCGUGGGGAGCAAACAGGAUUAGAUACCCGUGUAGUC
rnacentral:rRNA from 1 species